AGUUUGAUCCUGGCUCAGGAUGAACGCUAGCGGCAGGCUUAAUACAUGCAAGUCGAACGGUAACAGGCCCGGCAACGGGUGCUGACGAGUGGCGCACGGGUGCGUAACACGUAUGCAACCUACCCUUAACCGGGACAUAACACUGAGAAAUUAGUGCUAAUAUUCCAUGGUAUUACGAAGAGGCAUCUUUUUGUAAUUAAAGAUUUAUUGGUUAGGGAUGGGCAUGCGUCCCAUUAGUUAGUUGGAGUGGUAACGGCACACCAAGACGAUGAUGGGUAGGGGUCCUGAGAGGGUUAUCCCCCACACUGGUACUGAGACACGGACCAGACUCCUACGGGAGGCAGCAGUAAGGAAUAUUGGGCAAUGGGCGGGAGCCUGACCCAGCCAUGCCGCGUGCAGGAAGACGGCCCUAUGGGUUGUAAACUGCUUUUGUUUGGGACUAACAGCCGGGUCGUGACCCGGCCUGCAGGUACCGAAUGAAUAAGCAUCGGCUAACUCCGUGCCAGCAGCCGCGGUAAUACGGAGGAUGCGAGCGUUAUCCGGAUUUAUUGGGUUUAAAGGGUGCGUAGGCUGGUAAUUAAGUCAGUGGUGAAAUACUCCGGCUCAACCGGGGGGCUGCCGUUGAUACUGGUUACCUUGAGUUUAGAUGAUGUGGGCGGAAUGUGUCAUGUAGCGGUGAAAUGCAUAGAGAUGACACAGAACACCGAUAGCGAAGGCAGCUCACAAAGCUAUUACUGACGCUGAUGCACGAAAGCGUGGGGAUCAAACAGGAUUAGAUACCCUGGUAGUCCACGCUGUAAACGAUGAUCACUAGCUGUAGGCGAUACACUGUCUGUGGCUAAGCGAAAGCGAUAAGUGAUCCACCUGGGGAGUACGUCCGCAAGGAUGAAACUCAAAGGAAUUGACGGGGGCCCGCACAAGCGGAGGAGCAUGUGGUUUAAUUCGAUGAUACGCGAGGAACCUUACCUGGGCUUGAAUGUAUAUUGCAUGAUUGUGAAAGCGAUCUUUCUAGCGAUAGACUAUAUACGAGGUGCUGCAUGGCUGUCGUCAGCUCGUGCCGUGAGGUGUUAGGUUAAGUCCCGCAACGAGCGCAACCCUUGCCAUUAAUUGSCAUCAUUUAGUUGGGCACUUUAAUGGGACUGCCGGUGACAAACCGGAGGAAGGUGGGGAUGACGUCAAGUCCUCAUGGCCCUUAUGGCCAGGGCUUCACACGUAAUACAAUGGUCGGUACAGAGGGUUGCCAACCCGCGAGGGGGAGCCAAUCCCAGAAAGCCGAUCGUAGUCCGGAUUGCAGUCUGCAACUCGACUGCAUGAAGUCGGAAUCGCUAGUAAUCGCGGAUCAGCAUGUCGCGGUGAAUACGUUCCCGGGCCUUGUACACACCGCCCGUCACACCAUGGGAGUGGGUUCCACCAGAAGUAGGUAGUCUAACCGCAAGGAGGACGCUUACCACGGUGGGGUUCAUGACUGGGGUGAAGUCGUAACAAGGUAACC
rnacentral:rRNA from 1 species